CCUACGGGUGGCAGCAGUAGGGAAUCUUCCUCAAUGGGGGAAACCCUGAUGCAGCAACGCCGCGUGGGUGAUGAAGGUUUUCGGAUCGUAAACCCCUGUUGUUAGAGAAGAAAAUGACGGAGUGUAACGGUUAACCAUCCGCUAACUACGUGCCAGAAGCCGCGGUCAUACGGAGGGCGCAAACGUUAGGCGGAAUGACGGGGCGUAAAGUGCACGGAGGCGGGUUUGCAAGUCAGAUGUGAAAUCCUAUGGCUUAACCAUAGAACUGCAUUUGAAACUGGUAUUCUAGAGUGUGGAAGAGGAAGGUGGAAUUCCUGGUGUAGGGGUAAAAUGCGUAGAGAUCAAGAGGAAUACUCGUGGCGAAGGCGACCUGCUAGAACGUAACUGACGCUGAGGUUCGAAAGCGUGGGGAGCAAACAGGAUUAGAUACCCGUGUAGUC
rnacentral:rRNA from 1 species